rnacentral:tRNA from 1 species
GCUGGGGUGGUGGAAUGGCAGACACGAAGGCCUUAAGAGCCUUUAUCCGCAAGGGUGUGAGGGUUCGACUCCCUCCCUCAGCA